GUGCUUGCUUCAGCAGCACAUAUACUAAACAUUGGAAUGAUACAGAGAUUAACAUGGCCCCAGGGCAAGAAUGACACACAAAUUCGUAAAGCAUUCCAUAUUUUU